rnacentral:lncRNA from 1 species
ACAGAUGUUAAAAUGUUAUUUCAGAGUGUUUUUGGAGUUAUUAAUCCUUCUAACAUAUUCUUUGUAUGACUUUUAAGAACACUCUUGAGAUAUAUAACACACGAAGAAAUAAUGUGGAAUAGAUGAUAUUCUCACAUUUGGAGUGCAAAUUGGUGUAAGAGGUUAAGUUCCUUUAAACUGUUUACUAAAAAGUUCUUUGGUUCACCUUUUCCGGGCAAUGUAGGUCAAUAUGGAGAGCUCAAAGCUGAAAUCAGUCGCAUCACAAUGAGAAAAUGGAUUUAUUUUGUGGGAGUAUUGACAAAAAAGCUAAUAUAAGUUGAUGGACUAAUCCCAGGAAAGAAUACAGCCAAGCAGCCUCUCCCUUCCCUUCCUCUGCACUGAUCACAGCAUGGCUCCACAUGUCCCACCUUAGGGUGUCACCUCAGCCUCUGCAUCAAAAACCUGGAACCUUAAGUCUUGGAACAUCCAGAAUUUUCAGGAAGAGAACAGAAAACAAAACAGAAAUGCCCUUCUGCCACUGCAUCAUUCAUAGUAUUUCUGUAGGGAAUAAGGACACAUAGCUGAUCCUGUAGGCUCCAGAAAGGAUGCAGUACAUGUAGAAGGGUGCGAGGAGGAAGACAAAGGCGAUCAGAGGUUGUGGACUGCUUCCGGAGAAAUGAGGAACCAGCCAGAGAGGGACUUGGCAGUGUGGUGAGGUGAUCUUCUUCAAGUUCACUUCUUUAAGUGUCAAAAGUCUAGACUUAAUUUUAAGUCUUUUGAUCUGCAGCUGACAUUAGCCACUUGAAAG